AUAGAUUACAGGUUAUAGGUUAUAGGUUAUAGGUUAUAGGUUAUAGGUUACAGGUUAUAGGUUAUAGGUUAUAGGUUACAGGUUAUAGGUUAUAGGUUAUAGGUUAUAGGUUAUAGGUUAUAGGUUAUAGGUUAUAGGUUAUAGGUUAUAGAUUACAGGUUAUAGGUUAUAGGUUAUAGGUUAUAGGUUAUAGGUUAUAGAUUACAGGUUAUAGGUUAUAGGUUAUAGGUUAUAGGUUACAGGUUAUAGAUUACAGGUUAUAGGUUAUAGGUUAUAGGUUAUAGGUUAUAGGUUAUAGGUUAUAGGUUACAGGUUACAGGUUAUAGGUUAUAGGUUAUAGGUUAUAGGUUACAGGUUAUAGGUUAUAGGUUAUAGGUUAUAGGUUAUAGGUUAUAGGUUAUAGGUUAUAGGUUAUAGGUUAUAGGUUACAGGUUAUAGGUUAUAGGUUAUAGGUUAUAGAUUACAGGUUAUAGGUUAUAGGUUAUAGGUUAUAGGUUACAGGUUAUAGGUUAUAGAUUACAGGUUAUAGGUUAUAGGUUAUAGGUUAUAGGUUAUAGAUUAUAGGUUAUAGGUUAUAGAUUACAGGUUAUAGGUUAUAGGUUAUAGGUUAUAGGUUACAGGUUACAGGUUAUAGGUUAUAGGUUAUAGGUUAUAGGUUAUAGGUUACAGGUUAUAGGUUAUAGGUUAUAGGUUAUAGGUUACAGGUUACAGGUUACAGGUUAUAGGUUAUAGGUUAUAGGUUAUAGGUUAUAGGUUAUACAUUCUUUGUUGUUGGUACUGAGUUUGUGUCAUGUAUUGCAAAG